UGCGCAGGCGGACUUUUAAGUCAGUGGUGAAAUCCCGAGGCUCAACCUCGGAACUGCCAUUGAUACUGGAAGUCUUGAAUUUGGUUGAAGUGGGCGGAAUGUAGCAUGUAGCGGUGAAAUGCUUAGAUAUGCUACAGAACACCGAUCGCGUAGGCAGCUCACUAAGCCAAUAUUGACGCUCAGGCACGAAAGCGUGGGGAGCAAACAGGAUUAGAUACCCUGGUAGUCC
rnacentral:rRNA from 1 species